UACGUAGGGGGCUAGCGUUGUCCGGAAUCAUUGGGCGUAAAGAGCGUGUAGGCGGCUCGGUAAGUCCGCUGUGAAAGUCAAAGGCUCAACCUUUGAAUGUCAGUGGAUACUGCCGGGCUAGAGUCCGGAAGAGGCGAGUGGAACUCCUGGUGUAGCGGUGGAAUGCGCAGAUAUCAGGAAGAACACCAACGGCGAAGGCAGCUCGCUGGGACGGUACUGACGCUGAGACGCGAAAGCGUGGGGAGCGAACAGG
rnacentral:rRNA from 1 species